UAGCCAGACUCCUACGGGAGGCAGCAGUGAGGAAUAUUGGUCAAUGGUCGGGAGACUGAACCAGCCAAGCCGCGUGAGGGAUGAAGGUACAGAGUAUCGUAAACCUCUUUUGUCAGGGAACAAAGGCGGGGACGUGUCCCCGGAUGAGUGUACCCGAAGAAAAAGCAUCGGCUAACUCCGUGCCAGCAGCCGCGGUAAUACGGAGGAUGCGAGCGUUAUCCGGAUUUAUUGGGUUUAAAGGGUGCGCAGGCGGAGGUGCAAGUCAGUGGUCAAAUUGCGGGGCUCAACCCCGUACUGCCGUUGAAACUGCAUCCCUUGAGUGCGCGAGAAGUAUGCGGAAUGCGUGGUGUAGCGGUGAAAUGCUUAGAUAUUGCACAGAACUCCGAUUGCGAAGGCAGCAUACCGGCGGCGAUCUGACGCUGAGGCACGAAAGCGUGGGUAUCGAACAGGAUUAGAUACCCUAGUACU
rnacentral:rRNA from 1 species